GUAAACUCAUGAUGUGUGUGUGAUGUAUUCUAUAGAUUUGCACAGGGCCUUCGUCUCAGACAGGUUGAUAUGGUGGAGGACGAUAUUGCUGCAACCCUCUCCAAGAUGGGCACAAAACUAAGGAAGGUCUGCAGACGGGCUGUUGAGAGGACGAGACGACAAAAAGGACAAAAAGGACGGCUCAUCGGUGGACGGCGGCAAUUUGUUGUAAUUGAUGAGUCAUUUCCGCCAUAAGAGAAAGUAUGGGAGAGGAAGAAUGGGUGGCAUGGAGAAGACGGAAAUGGGUCUUCGGCGUGCUUGGUGUGCAGCAGCAGAGGAGCAAGAGAGCGAAGCCGCACCAGGAGGAGCUCUUCUUUCUGAGGGUGAACAAGAUCACCUGAUUCCUCCACCUCGCGGUGCC
ensembl:lncRNA